rnacentral:rRNA from 1 species
CCUACGGGGGGCUGCAGUGAGGAAUAUUGGUCAAUGGACGAGAGUCUGAACCAGCCAAGUAGCGUGAAGGAUGACUGCCCUAUGGGUUGUAAACUUCUUUUAUAUGGGAAUAAAAUGUUCCACGUGUGGGAUUUUGUAUGUACCAUAUGAAUAAGGAUCGGCUAACUCCGUGCCAGCAGCCGCGGUAAUACGGAGGAUCCGAGCGUUAUCCGGAUUUAUUGGGUUUAAAGGGAGCGUAGGUGGAUUGUUAAGUCAGUUGUGAAAGUUUGCGGCUCAACCGUAAAAUUGCAGUUGAAAAUGGCAGUCUUGAGUACAGUAGAGGUGGGCGGAAUUCGUGGUGUAGCGGUGAAAUGCUUAGAUAUCACGAAGAACUCCGAUUGCGAAGGCAGUUCACUGGACUGCAACUGACACUGAGGCUCGAAAGUGUGGGUAUCAAACAGGGUUAGAUACCCGAGUAGUC